CUUGAUUCCAGCAUUUGAAGCCAUAUCAGUCAUCCUUCGCCCACUUGAAAUUCAACUGGAAUUACACCAGGUUGUCCAGGGUUCCAGAGUGGAACCUGAAGUGAGGUUUGAACUUCCCAUGGAUUACUAGAAUCUGUGCAUCCAUGAAAAGACCAUGUGUAAAUCUGAUUUCACUGUAGAUAUUUAAAUUAUAAGAUGGAGAACAAUUGCUGUUACUUUUAAAAGAUGGAAGAUUUAGACAUAUCUUACUCUCAGUUCUUUAGAAGAGGGAUUCUCUCUAACUUAGGUGAGGACUUAUCCACUUGAUGUGUUUUUCAUUUUCUAGUGGAAUUUCAGGAGUGAGUGCAAUACAAAUAAUAACAUGUUUCUUUAAAACGAACAAGAGAUAUGAGCAUAAAUCUGAAUUCCCUAAAAGAAAUUAGCCACGGCGUAGAGAACAGGCACAUACAAGACAGACAUGCCUUGUGCUCUGUGAUAGGUGUCCUGUAAAAGUCAGCUUAAGAAAUACAGAUACUGGCCAAUGUGCAUGUGAAAAAUUUUACUUUACACUAUCCUGUAGCAAAAAAAGGAUCAUUUUCCUUUUGUUCACAGGUCCAUGAAAAAUGGUUGAUAUGACAGGACACUAUUAACAAUUAAGGCUGGUUUUCAGUGUUUGUGUUUGCAGCAGGACUAAGAAAAGACACCAAGGACGGGGAGAUAAUGGAUGGUGCUCGAUGGGAUGGUUUAGUUAAGUUAAAUCCAGUGCUGGUCCGUGGCUUUCCCUACUGGAAUCAGGCAGGUCAUCAUGGAGUGGCCCAAGGCUGCAUUUUUCCUUUGCCUUAAGAGGAAAGCAAAGGAUCAAGGAGCCUUAGGGAACGUGGCAGAGAGCACUGCUGGAGGCAGGAAUGACACAGGGAGCACCAGGAGGUGCAGGUCAGCCUUGUUCAGAUCAUCUACUUCAGUCUGUGGUCUGGGAGUACUUUGAAAAUUGGCAGGAGAGUAUGGAAAAUAUAAAAGGAAAAGCCUUGAAACAGACCACAAUUCUUUCAUAUGUGUAUUACACUGGAAUUAUUUAUAUAUAUAUAUAUGUAUAUGUAUAUACACUGGGAGGACUCUGUUCUUUACAUCCUUAAAUUACAGACCUUCAUAACACGUAAUGUCACCCUUCUGGAAAAAUGAGGGUGAUAGAAUGGGACACAAACACCAGCAACUACUUAAUAGCACAUGCAAAUAUUGGCAUGCUUGUUAUGCCUUAUUUUUGUUGUUGUUAUUACUUUUGUUGUUGUUAUUACUUUAUUUUUGGAGCUGUGUGUUGGCACGCCAGCAUUUCCUUACAUUUGAGCUCCACUGUGCACUUUGAAGGCCUUAAUUUAACGAGCAGACGUGGUGCAGUCAGAGGGAGAAGUGUGUAAGUCACACAGUGUGGGUAUUUACACUUCACAUGCUGAGCUUUGUAGUCAUCCUUUGGGAGGAAAGAGUUACAGUUAUUUUAUCUCUGUCUUUCUCAUUAGCUCCAGAGGGAAGUCUUGGAAAGAAGGCAAUGGAUUUACGGCUCAGUUUGGGUUGGUUGUCCUUCUGCAGAACGUCUCAGGUAGCCCCGGCCCAAGUGGGAGUAAAUAGUCCUGCAGGGAAGGCCUAGGGCACCGUCAGGAUGAACACAGGAGAUUUCACCACCCUCCUAAACAUUCUCAUCUUUGUGGCCAGGCACGUGAAUCAGUAAAAUCCUUCAGUCGUUAGAGGAAGGAGAACAUCAAGUUUUGCAGGAGAACAACAGAUCCAAGAUUGGUGCUUUGACAUGUUCACAAGGUGGCCUCUGCAUCUGCCUUUCCAAUGUAUUUACUUACCAGUCUACCCAGGGAUUUUGUGAAGGAUUUGGCAUCUUAAACAGCUUUUUAUUCCAACAACAUUUCAAUUCACCCUUAAGACUCUCAGUUAAGACAAACUGAACUGGGGAUCCCUGGGUGGAAUUUGCAUGGAAGUUAUGGGGUUUGGGUAUGGGGUUUAUAGCCUGAUAUUGUACUAUCUCCCAUCUCUUAUUUUCCACUCAUUUUGCAUGUAAAACUUUUACUGCUAUCAGCAGAGUUUAGGGGGCCACUAAAACUGAGACUAUGCCCCCAGGACCCAACAUGAUGUAAGGGACCCCCUUUACUUAGAACCAUUUGGCUGCACUAAAUCUUGGUGUUGAAUGUUUGGGUUAGUUCCCCCAUAAACCUCGUCUGCUGGAUUUAUAUAUUUGGCUCCUUUUAUUUUGACUCUGGUGGCUAACUUUGCAAUGGGCUUUGAAUGAAUGCAAUUCCACUCACACCAGCAGCACAGUGGGUAUUUCUGGUUGUGUAAAUACAGGGAUGUAUAAAUACAGUCUGGGAGGAUGCUGAGGGGACCCACUUGGUGGGGUUUCGGUGAGAUCCGAGACUGCUCAGCACCUCCAGGGAGAAAUUCCAACCCUUCCAGCCUCCCCACAGUGUCUGUGGUCCCUUUCUAUAGCCUUUUGUCCCAAUCACAGCACACAGUGCAUUUGCUUAUCACCUUUUUAAUCACAAACUCUGAAAUAUUUAUUUUCCUGUGUUCUAAAAGCACACUUCUAUAUGCAACAAAGAAUUAUGUCAACUAGGAGGAUGAUGGAGAUGUAUUUUUCCCUCUACAGCUCUGUGAAACUUAGCUUUUUCUCACAUGGGUGUGGGGUUUUUAAAUAAAGCAGUAUUUCA